GACUCGAAAAAAUCGAAAAAAAAUUCGAAUUUCGAGUUAAACGAAUCGAGUUGAGUUUUUAAAUUCGAAUAACUCGAAUAAUUCGAAUAAUUCGAAUAUCAAACUAUAAUAUUUUACAUUUUUACCCCAAACUCCCAAACUUUUUUACUUUUCCCUCAAAACUUUUACUCCUUCCCACUUUCCCCCCAAAACUUUUACUCCCCUCCCCUCCCAACCCC
rnacentral:lncRNA from 1 species